AAAUUGAAGAGUUUGAUCAUGGCUCAGAUUGAACGCUGGCGGCAGGCCUAACACAUGCAAGUCGAACGGUAACAGAAAGCAGCUUGCUGCUUUGCUGACGAGUGGCGGACGGGUGAGUAAUGUCUGGGAAACUGCCUGAUGGAGGGGGAUAACUACUGGAAACGGUAGCUAAUACCGCAUAACGUCGCAAGACCAAAGAGGGGGACCUUCGGGCCUCUUGCCAUCGGAUGUGCCCAGAUGGGAUUAGCUAGUAGGUGGGGUAA
rnacentral:rRNA from 3 species